rnacentral:rRNA from 1 species
AGAACGAACGCUGGCGGCAGGCUUAACACAUGCAAGUCGAGCGCCCCGCAAGGGGAGCGGCAGACGGGUGAGUAACGCGUGGGAACAUACCCUCCGGUUCGGAAUAGCUCAGGGAAACUUGGAUUAAUACCGGAUACGGCCUAGCGGCGAAAGAUUCAUCGCCGGAGGAUUGGCCCGCGUUCGAUUAGCUAGUUGGUGAGGUAACGGCUCACCAAGGCGACGAUCGAUAGCUGGUCUGAGAGGAUGAUCAGCCACAUUGGGACUGAGACACGGCCCAAACUCCUACGGGAGGCAGCAGUGGGGAAUUUUGCGCAAUGGGGGAAACCCUGACGCAGCAACGCCGCGUGGAGGAUGAAAUCCCUUGGGAUGUAAACUCCUUUCGAUCGGGAAGAUAAUGACGGUACCGGAAGAAGAAGCCCCGGCUAACUUCGUGCCAGCAGCCGC